CGACAGGUACUGAGCAAAAUCUUUCGAUCUGGGAGACUGCUAGUGACUGAGACGCAAAAAGAGCGAGUUAUUGUCGCUGACGGGAAGACGAUGUGCCGCGGUGAGUUGGGAGCCAGGUGAAGGAGAUUGUUCUUUCUUUGGACAAGAUGAUACAUUUGUUCAGAGACAGGAAAAAAAAGUCCUAUCUGUUUACGUCUUUUGUUCUGUUCCGAAGCGAGUCAACAUCACACACAGGCUCAUCUGCCUCAAACCUUGGCGCCACAAAUUAAAAGCAUGCUCCCGUUCGUCCACAAAUGUGAGGGAUAGAUGGAAUCCGAAUCAAUAGCCGAGAGGGAGAGUGUCUCUGCUUUCUUCUCCCUAGAGAAAACAAAGCAGAAUAUGGCAGAUGUGAAACCGGACCAUAACACUGUGGCCCAUAUAUAUGUGUGUAUAUACACCCGGGUACAUGUCGAUGUCGGGUCUGACGUUGGACUCCUUUUUCCCUGCAGUUUGCCGACUGUGAAUGUUGGUUCUUCCAACACUGACAGAGGAUCUUCCGAAUCUUGCGAAUCUGGACGCAUACUGCGUUGUCCGUCGAGAGAAGCCGUGAGACAUCUCAACGGUGGUUAAAGUCCCCGUACCUCCUCAACCGAGGCAGGCAGCAAAUGGUCCAAGCGCAAAGCGCUUGCCUCUCCCAGUAGGGUGGCACAGACGGUACGAGCUGUGAGAAUCGUUUUUCUCUCGCUACUGACUGUUUCGUUCCACAGUAGGGGGACGUUGCCACUCUUAUGCUGCUAACGAGGCUAUUUUCUAGGGGAUGUGCUUCUGGCGUGGAGGAACGUGUUUUCCAUCCUAGAUUUUAUCGGGAAUUGUACUCCAACCCCGUACGCAGUGACUACCGAACUGUAGAAAACACCAUCUAAGCAACACUACUAUUCUCG
rnacentral:lncRNA from 1 species